UCUGUUCUCACUGACACUACGUUUCUGCU
rnacentral:piRNA from 1 species